UACGUAGGGGGCGAGCGUUGUCCGGAGUUACUGGGCGUAAAGGGCACGCAGGCGGUGCGGCGCGUUUCGCGUGACAGCGGAGGGCUUAACUCUCCGAGGAUGCGAAAGACGGCGGCACUUGAGGGCCAGAGAGGGACACGGGAUUCCGGGUGGAGUGGUGAAAUGCGUAGAGAUCCGGAGGAACACCGAAGGCGAAGGCAGUGUCCUGGCUGGUGACUGACGCUGAGGUGCGAAAGCUAGGGGAGCGAACGGG
rnacentral:rRNA from 1 species